CCAGCUCCAAUAGCGUAUAUUAAAGUUGUUGCAGUUAAAAAGCUCGUAGUCGGAUUUCUGGUGAUUAUGAUUCUGAUUAGUAUCUCAAGUAAAAUUAGAGAGCUAUUGGGGUUGUUUCGCCAUAUCAAUAGCGCCUGUUUUACGGGUUAACGCGCCUUAACUGGUUGUGUUCUCUCAGACAGGCCUAUUACCUUGAACAAAUUAGAGUGUUUAAAUCAGGCGUUUACGUCUCGAAUAAAUUAGCAUGGGAUAAUAAUACUGCCUUUUUAGUUAUUUUAUGGGGUAUAAUUAAGAAGUAAUGUCAAUAGGGAUGUUCGGGGCCAUUCAUAUUCAGUGGUUAGAGGUGAAAUUCUUAGAUUCACUGAAGAUGCCCUACUGCGAAAGCAUUUGGCUAGGACAUUCCCG
rnacentral:rRNA from 1 species